AGCAGUCCAGAGAUGGAAGACGCUGACGUGGCCUUGCCAUACUAGCAGUUAACAGCUGUGUGUCACUACAGGUUGCCCAGGACCAAACCAGAGAGGGGCCAGUGAGUGCCUCUUACAACUCAGAACCUCAAAGAAAACCUCAACCCUGUUGUUCCCAGAGCAGACUUGCCAUCUAUUGGAUGGGUGGACCCCAGAGAAAACUGAGGGUGCUAAAAGUGUCUGGUAGUCGGUUCCAGGCACUCCAAAUUUCCUGUUCGUAGUGGCACUCCUCUUGAUUCUCCAAGCGGCACCUUUCCAGAUUCUCAAGCUUUGACCUCAAGUCGACAAACACCUGAGCCCAGAUACUGUCUUGAAAUUCUGCAAGUUGCAUCUCCAAAUCAUCAAUAUGCAUCCAUUGGAAACCAUUUAAUUCCAAACUACUGUAGACUACUACA